rnacentral:rRNA from 1 species
UACGUAGGGUGCAAGCGUUAAUCGGAAUUACUGGGCGUAAAGCGUGCGCAGGCGGUUUUGUAAGUCUGUCGUGAAAUCCCCGGGCUCAACCUGGGAAUUGCGAUGGAGACUGCAAGGCUAGAAUCUGGCAGAGGGGGUAGAAUUCCACGUGUAGCAGUGAAAUGCGUAGAGAUGUGGAGGACACCGAUGGCGAAGGCAGCCCCCUGGGGCAAGAUUGACGCUCAUGUCACGAAAGCGUGGGGAGCAAACAAG